rnacentral:rRNA from 1 species
GACGAACGCUGGCGGCGUGCUUAACACAUGCAAGUCGAACGGAAAGGCCCUGCUUUUGUGGGUUUCUCGAGUGGCGAACGGGUGAGUAACACGUGAGUAACCUGCCCUUGACUUUGGGAUAACUUCAGGAAACUGGGGCUAAUACCGGAUAGGAGCUCCUGCUGCAUGGUGGGGGUUGGAAAGUUUCGGCGGUUGGGGAUGGACUCGCGGCUUAUCAGCUUGUUGGUGGGGUAGUGGCUUACCAAGGCUUUGACGGGUAGCCGGCCUGAGAGGGUGACCGGCCAAAUUGGGACUGAGAUACGGCCGAGACUCCUACGGGAGGAAGCAGUGGGGAAUAUUGCACAAUGGGCGGAAGACUGAUGCAGCAACGCCGCGUGCGGGAUGACGGCCUUCGGGUUGUAAACCGCUUUAGCCUGUGACGAAGCGUGAGUGACGGUAAUGGGUAAAGAAGCACCGGCUAACUACGUG